rnacentral:rRNA from 1 species
UGGGUAACCUGCCCUCAGCUCUGGGAUAACUCCAAGAAAUGGGGGCUAAUACCGGAUAUGACCGCUGACCGCAUGGUCUGGUGGUGGAAAGAUUUAUCGGCUGGGGAUGGGCCCGCGGCCUAUCAGCUUGUUGGUGGGGUAGUGGCCUACCAAGGCGACGACGGGUAGCCGGCCUGAGAGGGUGACCGGCCACACUGGGACUGAGACACGGCCCAGACUCCUACGGGAG